GCAGGUAGCCAAGUUGGG
rnacentral:misc_RNA from 1 species